GAUGAACGCUGGCGGUAUGCUUAACACAUGCCAGUCGAACGGACUCUUCGGAGUUAGUGGCGGACGGGUGAGUAACGCGUGAGAAUCUGGCUUUGGGUUCGGGACAACCACUGGAAACGGUGGCUAAUACCGGAUGUGCCGAGAGGUAAAAGAGAAAUUGCCUGAAGAUGAGCUCGCGUCUGAUUAGCUAGUUGGUGAGGUAAAGGCUCACCAAGGCAGCGAUCAGUAGCUGGUCUGAGAGGAUGACCAGCCACACUGGGACUGAGACACGGCCCAGACGCCUACGGGAGGAAGCAGUGGGGAAUUUUCCGCAAUGGGCGAAAGCCUGACGGAGCAAUACCGCGUGAGGGAAGAAGGCUCUUGGGUUGUAAACCUCUUUUCUUAGGGAAGAACAAAAUGACGGUACCUAAGGAAUCAGCAUCGGCUAACUCCGUG
rnacentral:rRNA from 1 species